UGGGGAAUUUUGGACAAUGGGCGAAGCUGAUCCAGCAAUGCCGCGUGUGUGAAGAAGGCCUUCGGUUGUAAGCACUUUUGUCCGGAAAGAAAUCCUUGGCUCUAAUACAGUCGGGGGAUGACGGUACCGGAAGAAUAAGCACCGGCUAACUACGUGCCAGCAGCCGCGGUAAUACGUAGGGUGCAAGCGUUAAUCGGAAUUACUGGGCGUAAAGCGUGCGCAGGCGGUUUGCUAAGACCGAUGUGAAAUCCCCGGGCUCAACCUGGGAACUGCAUUGGUGACUGGCAGGCUAGAGUAUGGCAGAGGGGGGUAGAAUUCCACGUGUAGCAGUGAAAUGCGUAGGAGAUGUGGAGGAAUACCGAUGGCGAAGGCAGCCCCCUGGGCCAAAUACUGACGCUCAUGCACGAAAGCGUGGGGAGCAAACAGGAUUAGAUACCCUGGUAGUCCACGCCCUAAACGAUGUCAACUAGUUGUUGGGGAUUCAUUUCCUUAGUAACGUAGCUAACGCGUGAAGUUGACCGCCUGGGGAGUACGGUCGCAAGAUUAAAACUC
rnacentral:rRNA from 1 species